GCGGGGAUGGCGGAAUUGGUAGACGCACUGGAUUUAGGUUCCAGCGCCGCAAGGUGUGAGAGUUCGAGUCUCUCUCUCCGCACCA
rnacentral:tRNA from 3 species